UAAUACGGAGGGUGCGAGCGUUGUCCGGAAUCACUGGGCGUAAAGGGCGCGUAGGCGGCCUCUAGCAAGCGUGCGGUGAAAGCCCGGGGCUCAACCCCGGGUCGGCCGUGCGGACUGCGAGGCUGGAGCACUGUAGGGGCAGAUGGAAUUCCGGGUGUAGCGGUGGAAUGCGUAGAGAUCCGGAAGAACACCGGUGGCGAAGGCGGUCUGCUGGGCAGUAGCUGACGCUGAGGCGCGACAGCGUGGGGAGCAAACAGGA
rnacentral:rRNA from 1 species